GAUUGAACGCUGGCGGCAGGCCUAACACAUGCAAGUCGAGCGGCAGCGGRAAGUAGCUUGCUACUUUGCCGGCGAGCGGCGGACGGGUGAGUAAUGUCUGGGGAUCUGCCUGAUGGUGGGGGAUAACUACUGGAAACGGUAGCUAAUACCGCAUAACGUCGCAAGACCAAAGUGGGGGACCUUCGGGCCUCACGCCAUCGGAUGAACCCAGAUGGGAUUAGCUAGUAGGUGAGGUAAUGGCUCACCUAGGCGACGAUCCCUAGCUGGUCUGAGAGGAUGACCAGCCACACUGGAACUGAGACACGGUCCAGACUCCUACGGGAGGCAGCAGUGGGGAAUAUUGCACAAUGGGCGCAAGCCUGAUGCAGCCAUGCCGCGUGUGUGAAGAAGGCCUUCGGGUUGUAAAGCACUUUCAGCGGGGAGGAAGGCGAYAAGGUUAAUAACCUUGUUGAUUGACGUUACCCGCAGAAGAAGCACCGGCUAACUCC
rnacentral:rRNA from 1 species